UGCAAGUUGGCAACGGACCGUCGUGCAA
rnacentral:sRNA from 1 species